GCCACAUCACGUUGAAACACCAGUUCCCGUACAAUCAUCGAAGUUAAGCAACGUUGCGCCUGGUCAAUAUCGAGAUGAAUGGCCGCCUGUUAAAUCCACGUGCUGUAA